ACGCUCGACACCUACGGGGGCAGCAGUGGGGAAUAUUGCACAAUGGGGGAAACCCUGAUGCAGCGACGCCGCGUGAGCGAAGAAGUAUCUCGGUAUGUAAAGCUCUAUCAGCAGGGAAGAAGAUGACGGUACCUGACUAAGAAGCACCGGCUAAAUACGUGCAAGCAGCCGCGGUAAUCUGAGCGGGCUGGCAAGGC
rnacentral:rRNA from 1 species